rnacentral:rRNA from 1 species
GAUGAACGCUGGCGGCGUGCCUAAUACAUGCAAGUCGAGCGAACGGACGAGAAGCUUGCUUCUCUGAUGUUAGCGGCGGACGGGUGAGUAACACGUGGAUAACCUACCUGUAAGACUGGGAUAACUUCGGGAAACCGGAGCUAAUACCGGAUAAUAUUUUGAACCGCAUGGUUCAAAAGUGAAAGACGGUCUUGCUGUCACUUAUAGAUGGAUCCGCGCUGCAUUAGCUAGUUGGUAAGGUAACGGCUUACCAAGGCAACGAUGCAUAGCCGACCUGAGAGGGUGAUCGGCCACACUGGAACUGAGACACGGUCCAGACUCCUACGGGAGGCAGCAGUAGGGAAUCUUCCGCAAAGGGCGAAAGCCUGACGGAGCAACGCCGCGUGAGUGAUGAAGGUCUUCGGAUCGUAAAACUCUGUUAUUAGGGAAGAACAUAUGUGUAAGUAACUGUGCACAUCUUGACGGUACCUAAUCAGAAAGCCACGGCUAACUACGUG